GAUGAAGAACGCAGCGAAAUGCGAUAAGUAAUGUGAAUUGCAGAAUUCAGUGAAUCAUCGAAUCUUUGAACGCACAUUGCGCCCGCCAGUAUUCUGGCGGGCAUGCCUGUUCGAGCGUCAUUUCAACCAUCAAGCCCCAGGCUUGUGUUGGGGACCUGCGGCUGCCGCAGGCCCUGAAAACCAGUGGCGGGCUCGCUGUCACACCGGGCGUAGUAGAUUUUAUCUCGCUCAGGGCGUGCUGCGGGUUCCGGCCGUUAAAAAGCCUUUUUUACCCAAGGUUGACCUCGGAUCAGGUAAGAAGACCCGCUGAACUUAAGCAUAUCAAUAAGCGGAGGA
rnacentral:misc_RNA from 1 species